AGGAGACAAACUACAACAGAAAAGAGCUUCCAAUGGAAUUCAUAAAGCUUUACAAUGGCUUAAACACAGACUAGCUUACAAUAUUUGAAAUAAUUAUCAAAUAAGCAACAGCAAAAGAAGACAAGCUUUUCUUCAUUUAUGGCCAUAAAGGAACAGGAAAGACUUAUCUAUGAAAAAUAAUUUUGGCAAUAUAAAAGUCAG
rnacentral:lncRNA from 1 species